rnacentral:rRNA from 1 species
CAGUAGCCGCGGGAAUACAGAGGAUGCAAGCGUUAUCCGGAAUGAUUGGGUGUAAAGCGUCUGUAGGUGGCUUUUCAAGUCCGCCAUCAAAUCCCCGGGCUCAACCCUAGACAGGCAGUGGAAACUACCAAGCUGGAGUACGGUAGGGGCAGAGGGAAUUUCCGGUGGAGAGGUGAAAUGCGUUGAGAUUGGAAAGAACACCAACGGUGAAAGCGCUCUGCUGGGCCGACACUGACACUGAGAGACGAAAUCUAGGGGAGCAAAUGGGAUUAGAUACCCCAGUAGUCCCUGUCUCUUAUAC